GAACGGCUGCACCAGUUUGCAUUCCCACCAACAAUGCAAAAGUGAUCCUCUCUCUCCGCAUCCUCGCCAACAUCUGUUGCUGCCUGAGUUGUUAAUCCCCCUCCCCCGCGGCCUGCUCUGUGGGAUUCAAGGCCCGGCAUCGGAUGCAAAUAAACAACCUUCCAGAGACUGCUUAAUCAGCCCCACAUUGUGAAGGUUAAAACCCGGAGACCCAGAAAAGCUACCUGACGUCCCCUCUGCCAUCAGCGUGGUUGGUGUAGGACCUCAUGUAACUUAUUGGGACCACCGUGACCACAUCCACAAAUGGUGUCUGUGCUUGCAUUUCCAGCCACUGUCCUUUGGGCAAAGAUGACUGUGGCUUCGUGUCUACACCCCGUGUACCUGUGAAGGCACUUCGGAAAGGCUGUAAUACCACUCGGGACAAACGGAAGCUGUCAGCACCGCAAGGAAAGGAGUGUGGCCAGCACCUGCCUUAUAACUCGGGAGAAGGGGGGAUGAGAAUCCCUGCGGUUUGUGGGCUCGCGGGAUGUGGGGCCGCGCACCACCUCAUUUCUCCCGCCUGGAAUAAUCCACAGGCACUAAAAGCGAGAUACACGCGUGCACUUGGAGAGCUGGUGCAUUUUUGUCCCGCUGAUUUGCGCUUUCUCAUUUUUUUUACCAUAUACACCAAAAAAAUACUACAGACAUUUAAAAAUGAAAAUGUAUGAUUUUCAAGGAAGCUCUUCUCUCUGGGGGAAGGGGCUGCUGUUCUGAAGGCGGGGAUCAGCCGAGCGUAGCCCAGCGGUCUGAAAUGAAUGCAAAGGUAGGCAGAGAACACACCUGCGGCGUCACGCGGGGACUGUGACUGCCCCCACGGCCAGGUGUUUGAUUUCAACUUUGGCGAACAGAAAACAGGCUUGGUUGGAGACAGGGAGACUGGGCUACGGGCUCUGCAAAUGGGAAAAGUAACAGCGCUAUUAGAGCCCGUUGCCGUAGCAACAGCACAGCAAAGCUAUUUUGUGGUUAACUCGUGAGAGACAAGUCGGCACAAGGAUUAAUGUCAAGUUACGGCGCGAUUUGGGCCGUGGGUAUUUAACCUCCGUCCCCCACAGUCCUCUGAGCACACCCAGGGUGUUCCCAGCGAGCUCCAAAUAUGCCCUCUCUCUCCUGGUCCAGAAACUGUACGUGAGGUAGCGAGGGUGCAGUAUUCGGGAAUGGUCCCUCGAACCGUGCUUGCAAACCCCACUGAGGACCCCCCUGGGGACUCGGCUAAGCUGCAGAGGCUGACUCAAAGGUAGGUGUGCGGUGAGGCCUGAGACGCUGCAUUUCGAACAAGCUCCAGAUGAUGUCCGUGCUGCCGGUCCAGGGACCACACUUUGAGUAGCAAAGCCCUAGCCUAGACUUCACACUGGAAGAAACCAGAACAUACAUUUUUGUUCCCUGCUGUCCCUCCCGGGCCCAGCAGGAGGAGGCUCAGGACACGCUUUGUGAAUAAACAAACAAAAGGAUGAACAGAUGACA